rnacentral:rRNA from 1 species
AUGCGAUCAUUGCGGGAAAGCUGGGAGAGCGUGCUCAACUCUUUUCGGCAGGCAUGUGUCCGGGCAUCUGGGCUGGUUGCGAUCCGGUCCUUCGCUUGGCCUCCACGUGUGCGGCGCGUACCGGCCGAAUCAACCAAUCAAACAGUCCGUGGCGUGGGCGGAAAAGAGUACGUAAAAUAUGUGCGAGAGGAUAAGCGCUGGCCGCCGGAGAAGCGGCGGGGCAGCGGGCGAAUCUUCUGGACGAAUGCCGAGCUCGCAUCCGCGGUGAUGGCGACGGCACGAGCAGAUGGGACGGUGAUGAUUCGUCGGGGCCGUUGGCCGUUUCCUGGCGCGCCAUCAUUACAUGGUCAUGGUGGAAGAUCCUCUUCGCAAAGGGAGUUGGAAAAAGUUCAUUUUACAGUCGAACAAGUGACGGUUGUUACCACUUCCGGAGGAGUUUGCCGCUCCUUAUUUGUUGGCAAAUUCUAG